rnacentral:rRNA from 1 species
GAUGAACGCUGGCGGCGUGCCUAACACAUGCAAGUCGAGCGAACCCUUCGGGGUGAGCGGCGGACGGGUGAGUAACGCGUGGGUAACCUGCCCUAUACACACGGAUAACGUACCGAAAGGUGCGCUAAUACGGGAUAAAGUUGUUGGAUGGCAUCCUCUAACAAUCAAAGCUCCGGCGGUAUAGGAUGGACCCGCGUCUGAUUAGCUAGUUGGUGAGGUAAUGGCUCACCAAGGCGACGAUCAGUAGCCGACCUGAGAGGGUGAUCGGCCACACUGGAACUGAGACACGGUCCAGACUCCUACGGGAGGCAGCAGUGGGGAAUAUUGCACAAUGGGCGAAAGCCUGAUGCAGCAACGCCGCGUGAGCGAUGAAGGUCUUCGGAUCGUAAAGCUCUGUCCUCAAGGAAGAUAAUGACGGUACUUGAGGAGGAAGCCCCGGCUAACUACGUGCCAGCAGCCGCCGUAA